UCGGGCAAUAACUGAUAACCAGGGUGUGACCGCCUGGUUUUUCCCUCUGUUUAAAGGUUACUGUGACUCAGGAUAGUCUGGACUUUCCCAAUCUCUCACGGAGAGCCGGGAUUAGGAAUCCGGGUGCAGCCCCUGUCGGGAAAAGCCUCCCGGGAGAGGGAGAAGAGAUACAUCCAAUGGGGAGUACUGCUCGCACUGCUCAAUGCUAUUUCUGCUGUUUCAGUGGGAAUGAGAUGGGAACUGAUACAGAAAUACGGACUGGUAGCUGCAGGAGGCGCUGUUCUGCUCAUCACCUCACCACUUCUGAUUUACUUCAUUGUCAAGGCCAGAAAGAGAAGAGACAAGCCACAAGGAAAUGGAAUCAAACAAACACAGAAGGCAAACUCAACGACAAAGUCUGAGCUGAUGUCAGUGAGGCCAAAGCAAACGGAGAAAUGAAUCGAAGCAUUUGUCACGCGAGCCAAAGUGAACCAGAACAAGACCCAAGGUUUGCAAACAGAACAAACCUGAUGCCCGAAAUGUCGAUUCUCCUGUUCCCUGGAUGCUGCCUGACCUGCUGCGCUUUUCCAGCAACACAUUUUCAGCAAAGAUCAACUGGAACAAGGCAACUGGUCAGAUCUGAUUUCUGACCUCAAGGAGACAGACCAGGAUGAGUAUGAAGUGAGUAUCAGGGAGUCCAUUUUAUUUAAUUACUCCUUUAUAACAAAUUGGGGUAAGAGGUAGGUUACUCUCCUCAUCAUACUACUUUUAUCAAAUUACCAGGUGAGGUGAACUACUGUGGGUGUUUCGGGUUUAAUCAGUAGAGGAGUGUUGACCUCCAUUUCAUAACACACUGGUCACAUAGACCCACCAGAAAUGGCAGUACAAUGGUAUGCAAUCAUGUGGGAACAACCUUGGGACUCCUCAACAUUGACUCUGAGCCCGUGAAAUCUGUCAGACUCAGGUCAGACAUGGGCUUGGAAACCUUCUACUGAUUCUCACCUACUGCUCUCCCUCAGCUGAUCAAUGGAUACCCCACAAUGUUCACCCCCACUUGGAGGAAGCACUGAGGGUCACACAGACACAGUGUUAACUGAGUGGGUCUUCCCUGUCCAUCCCCAAAGGUCACUCAGUAAUAAACCACACUGAGCGAGCUGGCUGAGCCCUGAAGGCUGGAGCUACCAAACUGGGUAAUGGAAGGGGUUAACGGUGUGAGAACCUGCACUUCCUCCCCAGAAACAUGGUCCUUCUGUCUCCAGAGGUUGGGCUGCAGGAGGUGGGACCCACAGCCCCUCCCAAGCAGCCUUUCCAAAACCCAGGGUACCUAGGUACAGGUACUUUAAAUGUUGUUACAGAAUUCAAAUAGUAAUAAAUACAAAUAGACAAGCAUGGGAAUACAGAGUUUAAAAUACCAGAAUGAGAAUAAAAAGUAUCUAUAAAGUACUCAAGUCAUUCUUCUUUUUUCACUGGGUCCAUGCCCACCAGGUUUCAGAAUAUGAGUCCAAACUGCCUCCACGCACUGGUUUCUGUCCCGGACUCAUCCCCCCCCAGCUGGCCUGGGCUUUGUCUACUCCUGCUCCUGCUUCCCGCUUCAGGCUCCAGUGCAGCUCUGCUCCCCACUCCAGGCUCUGUCUGUGCCUCUACUCCUGUUCCGGGCUCUGUCUGUGUCUCUACUCCCCGCUCUGGGCUCUAUCCGCACUCCCACUCCAGCUGUGACUCGUCUGUCGAGCCAGGCUGGUCUCAGACUCCGUUCUCCAUUCCCUCCAGGUAGGAUGGUUUAACAAGUUAAAAGUUGGGAUGUGGGAUGAAGACAAACUGCAGCAGAGAGAGAGAAGAAACAAAGAGAACUGGCAAGCAGAAAAGCACUGGCUGGAGCAUCUUACUCAGCUGUCAUCUUGCUAAAUGUACACUUUCAACAAACCAAUGACCCUAAACAUUGUUUAAUCCCACCCAAUGAUUGUAAAAGCGAGGUUAAGGCAGGUCACAGAAUGUGCAGCACUAUCGAAAUGCAGAAAUGAGAAGGAAAGUGAAUGAACAGAUACACAGACGGGAGGUUUGUAUUUGGAGUGGAACAUGUUUCCAUGAUCACCUGGAGCAGGUGGGAAUAAACAUCACCUCAGCGGGAGGUCAUAUCCAAUACAACCAGACAUUUUGAAACCUCAUAGGGGCUGCAGGAAUUUGCUGGGUCAAAGUUAAGAUUCACCAAUCUUUAUUCCAGCUGCAAGUGUUUCAGGGGAUCAGGGAAAGGUUAGGUCUUACUAGUAAAACCAGGCUCGGCUUUUCAUGAGGCACAAUCCUCUAUGACACUGUACUCCCACUCUCUCCGCAUAACCCUCAACACCUUCAGCCUCAAGGAAUGUAUCUGGGUUUUCUGAAACAUAUUCAGUGAUUUCCCCUCCACAGCUUUCUGUGGGAGAGAAUCCCACAGGUUCACUGUCCUCUGAGUGAAGACAUUUCUCCUCAGCUCAGUCUGAAAUGGCCUCUCCCGUAUCCUGAGGCUGUGACCCCUUGCUCUGGAGCCCUGGCCAAGGUGAAACAUUGUUCCUGCA